rnacentral:rRNA from 1 species
AACGAACGCUGGCGGCAUGCCUAACACAUGCAAGUCGAACGAGACCUUCGGGUCUAGUGGCGCACGGGUGCGUAACGCGUGGGAACCUGCCCUUAGGUUCGGAAUAACUCCCCGAAAGGGGUGCUAAUACCGGAUAAUGUCUUCGGACCAAAGCUUUAUCGCCUUUGGAUGGGCCCGCGUUGGAUUAGCUAGUUGGUAGGGUAAAAGCCUACCAAGGCGACGAUCCAUAGCUGGUCUGAGAGGAUGAUCAGCCACACUGGGACUGAGACACGGCCCAGACUCCUACGGGAGGCAGCAGUGGGGAAUAUUGGACAAUGGGUGAAAGCCUGAUCCAGCAAUGCCGCGUGAGUGAUGAAGGCCUUAGGGUCGUAAAGCUCUUUUACCCGGGAUGAUAAUGACAGUACCGGGAGAAUAAGCGCCGGCUAACUCCGUG